rnacentral:rRNA from 1 species
GAUGAACGCUGGCGGCGUGCCUAAUACAUGCAAGUCGAGCGAACUGAUUAGAAGCUUGCUUCUAUGACGUUAGCGGCGGACGGGUGAGUAACACGUGGGCAACCUGCCUGUAAGACUGGGAUAACUUCGGGAAACCGAAGCUAAUACCGGAUAGGAUCUUCUCCUUCAUGGGAGAUGAUUGAAAGAUGGUUUCGGCUAUCACUUACAGAUGGGCCCGCGGUGCAUUAGCUAGUUGGUGAGGUAACGGCUCACCAAGGCAACGAUGCAUAGCCGACCUGAGAGGGUGAUCGGCCACACUGGGACUGAGACACGGCCCAGACUCCUACGGGAGGCAGCAGUAGGGAAUCUUCCGAAAUGGACGAAAGUCUGACGGAGCAACGCCGCGUGAGUGAUGAAGGCUUUCGGGUCGUAAAACUCUGUUGUUAGGGAAGAACAAGUACGAGAGUAACUGCUCGUACCUUGACGGUACCUAACCAGAAAGCCACGGCUAACUACGUGCCAGCCGCCGCGGUAAGAC